GGUGACUCUCUUUCCCCUGCUGUCUCCUGUGCUCAUUUCAUCCUGGAGCCAAGCAGCCAGGCCGCGCAGCCCCUCCUCACUGCCCGGACCCCCCUCCGCGAUGAGAUGGAGGCACAGCACGCUGGCUGGCACUGGAGGAAGGAGAGGGUGAUCUGGCCCGCAGAAGGAAAGCAGCGACGUAAGAUGGACCAAACCUGCCUGCCUCUGGACCUCCUUUCAAGAGAUCUCAGAAAGGAGGCAGUAGUCAAAGGAGAGAGACUGGUUUGGGGAAGUGAGCAGUUUUGAAAGGAAGUGGAGACGCCUUACGGUGGGAAAAAUGAGACCCAAAGCCAGGUCUCCUGGAGUGAGUUUCCUGGCUUCCUUCUCCCUCUCCUACAUUCUGAAACAUCCCAGAUGUCUUCACCACAAUAGGAAUGACUUCAUCUACCACCAGAUUUGAAACAAGAGUCUUACGGUAACUAAUGUCACCAUCAACAUUUGCCAGAAGGCAAGGAAAAAUAUAUGUACUCCGAUGGAAGUCAGUCUCAGCACCUCGGUCAACGGAAUUUCUUCCCCUCCUGCUCCUAAGAAAUAUGCCAUGGUAUUUGAUAACCUCACGAGAAAGGAACGUUUGUUAUUUUCCAUAAGAAUGCAACUGAAGUUGGGCAGCUCUGCUCCAACUCCAUUGAGUCAGCAAGAAAAAGCCCAUCCAACCAGCAAUCGAAGUCGAUUUACAGUCUUUGUGAAUUUCACGGCAAACUUCUCAUUUACCUGGGAGGAAACUGCAGGUUAAAAAAAAAAAAAAAAGGUAAAAUGGAAGAAGAGUUCACUAUAAAUUAUUACAAGACCAAACUUUCUUUUAAAUGUUUAUUGAAACCACUGCUAAAACAAGGACAGGUUUAGUGCAACUUGAAAUUCAUAAUUUGGUAACUGAACAGACCAUUAAAUUACCAAGAUCACCUUAUAGCAGUCACUCAGUACAGUUACAUCAACUUUACGGUUAUUUAAACUGCACUCGUAUGCAACUGAUUAAAUGAGGAUGUGAAUCUUUUAACACUGCGUGAGUAAACAAAAUUAGUAGCAGAUACA